UUGGCUCUUUUAGAGGACCAACGAGCUUGAGAGCUACGGUGACCAGGUAGUUUGGCUUUGUGUUUAUUUCCCAGAGACGAAGAGAAGCCCUGGGAGUUGAAACGAUUCCUCAAAAGCACAGAGCAUCCAGGGACAGGAAGACAGUCUCCAGCAAAUGGUUAGGCCCCCGAUAAUGUAACCCUUCUUCCCUGACAAAUGCCAAAGAAAGAACACAAAGGACUAGGAAGAUAUAUAAUCCCUCCCUCUCAGACCCCCUGGUGCUCUCAAAACAACUCUGGCAGCUCCAGGAUAAACAUCACGGUACAAGGGUGUGUCUGUCUGAACCUGGGCAGGAAAUGGAUGGCACCAAUGGGUUCUCUAGAGUGAGAAUCUGAAGCCGCCUUGAAUCUUCCAUCUUCCCUCACUGCAGCGUCCACUCAGGCGGCAGGUUCAAGGGGCCUGCUUCAAGAAGCAGCACGCUGUUGAUUUAAUUCUCAGCUCUGCUCCCCUACUUCGUUUGUUAUGGGGGUCCUGGCCACAAUUUCCUAGGAAAACUAUCCAGAUACCAGUCCAGCCCAAAGCCACUUGGCUUGUGCAGGCCUUCACAGGGUCAGUAAGGGCUGGUCAACACAAAGAGCUGGUAUAAUGAGCAAGAACUACAAGGGAUGCUGCCAAACUAAUGAUGGAAAAAGACAGGAAUGAAACAGCACAUCAUACUUCAUGCAAGUGUUCUGGGAUCUGCAGUAAGUCUCCCGCAUACCAAUCUUCAAACCGUGAACUUUCAAAGAUGUGAACAUGCGGGGCAGUCCCUGUAUGCCAGCUGCUGUGUUAUACUA